rnacentral:misc_RNA from 1 species
UUCGGUGCGUUUUUUGGUAUGUGCUUGUGCACAUAGCCACUCACCAACUUAUGUGCUUGCGCGAGAAUCCAUUUCUCUAUCGUAUGUAACGGGGAACAUUGUGCUUAGAAAAAUUAUUAACUAGGGGACAUUUUUUUCGCAAUGCCUUGGGCAUAUUUUUCUGACAUUCAGACAGAAUAGUGGCAUGAGUCGAUUAAUCUAUGGCAGAUCAACAAGAUCAACUAUCAGGGGGGUCUGUAGAGACGGCCAAUGCUUCAGCAGAUACCUCUAAAGUUAGAGGGAAGAGCUCUAGCAGUGGUAGCAGCGGUUAUAGAAAACGACAAAGCACUAGUUCUAUUCCAGUCACUGUAGAAGAAAAAAGACGUAGACAGACUAUUGGUGACCCAGAAUCAUCUGUAGAUUUUAAUACUUCCGUGUGUCAACAUUCGAGUGAUUCCUUCAAAGCAGAAAGUAGAACAAGAGGUGAUCGUAAAAGUCAUGGCAGUGGCUUAGAAUCAUAUCUAGAUACUAAUUGGAGGGCUCCACAUAAAGUUCAACAGUCGAAUUGUAAUAUUAGUGGGAGCAGUACAAGAGUUCGUAGUGCUGCAAGAACAAGUUUGCCAGAAUUAAAUUUAACGGCUAUUGACUGUGUUGCUUCAAGGACUCGUUCUCGUACACCACAAAAUCCCCAAGCCAUAUCACAAGGACAUAAUAGUUACGAUUUAUCACUAUCCAGUGAUUUUAAUAACCGAGAAGACUUGACGUAUAACAGUUUGGUACCACCAUCGAGUUCUACACCUGUUACUAGUCAUCCAUCCACAUCACGAGGAAGAGGCCUGAGGAUGAGCGAAUGUCUGGAAGGAUUUGUGUCUGCUGUCAAAGCACUUUUUCCAAUAUCAACACAAACGUAUCAUCAAGAAGGGUCAAAAUCUCACGGUGGUACAACCUGCACGAAUAGCAGUACAAGUAGUCAAGUUCUGAGUGUGAAGUCCAGCAUCAGAGUGGGUAACGCAGCCAGUAAUUCUGUGGAGAGCGGUGGGGGGGCGUUGGCACAUGACGGGGCAGGCACUAGUGGCAUCACAACAGCCACUGCCAAUCCAUCGGUGUCUGCCUCUGCCACUGCCAACCCUACACACCCUCAUUCUGCGCACAGGCAUAUAUUACGUUCUCGCACAAAAUUGUCCAGUGAACCUAAAGAACUGCCAACUAAUAACAAAACUUCAGGAAAGCAUCAUAAAAAAGAUACUACAACGGGUACUUGUUCAAGCUCCAGACACCGCUCUUCAUCACGCGCAAGAAAAGCAGUGAUAGAAGGAGGUUCUGGAGGAAGUGUAAUGUCAGGUACUGAAUCCGUCACAAAUAGUGCCACUCCAACAUCUGUAUCAUCUACAGUUCCUGGCAAUCAAUUAGUAUCAACCACCGGUGAAGACGAAUCUGCCUCUACAGCUACACCUGCCACAGCAGGUGGAGGUCCAUCCGGGAUGUCUGGUACUACUGGAGACAGUGAAAGUGAUGAUGGUGAAGUUGGAAGAUUACAAGCAUUAUUGGAAGCUAGAGGUUUACCUCCUCACGUGUUUGGUGCAUUAGGACCGCGAAUGCAACAUUUAUUAAAUAGAAGCAUGGGUGCGAGUUCAGCUGCCAAAGCACAACAGCUUCUGACUGGUUUACAAGCUGUUGAUGACGAAGGAGAACAGUUGCAAGCUGUUAUCGGAAUGGGUGAAAUUCUCGUCAUGGGAAAUGAAGAUACCCUAGCUGGUUUUCCCGUGAAACAAGUGGUUGCAGCAUUAAUUAAUUUACUUGGAAUAGAGCAUAAUUUUGUGAUAAUGACACAUGCAUGUCGUGCUCUCACUUACAUGAUGGAAGCUUUGCCUCGAUCGUCGACAGUUGUGGUUGAUGCUGUACCAGUGUUCUUACAAAAAUUAGAAUCUAUCGAAUGUAUGGAUGUGGCUGAACAGUGUUUAACGGCAUUAGCAAUGCUUUCACGUCGUCACAGUAAAACCAUUUUACAUGCAGGAGGAGUGUCAGCUUGUUUGAAAUUUGUUGAUUUCUUCAACAUCACUGCUCAACGAGCUGCAUUAACGAUAACGGCAAAUUGUUGUCAAAAUCUUCACCCUGAUGACUUUCACUUAGUGGUCGAUAGUUUACCUUUGUUGACAAGUAGACUAACGAAUCAAGAUAAAAAAAGUGUUGAAUGUGUUUGCCAAGCAUUUAGUCGUUUGGUUGAUAGUUUUCAACAUGAUCCUGUAACUUUACAUAAAAUUAUCAAUGCAGAACUUCUUCAAAACUUACAACAACUGUUAAUGAUUACGCCACCUGUCAAUAGCAUUGGCAAUUUCAUAACGGUGUUACGAAUGCUUUCUGUGAUAUCAAAUCGCUGUCCUGAUUUGGCACAGCUGCUUCUGCAACAAAAUAUUGCUUUUACGCUAAGUUAUCUUUUAACUGGAUCAUUAGAAGUGAAAGCAGAAGAUGUAGAACUAGUACCGCGAUCUCCACAAGAGUGGUUUGAAAUUACUUGCUUGAUCGAGGAACUGAUGCCUCCAUUGCCAACAGAUGGCAUAUUUAGUGUAAAUAGUUUACUUGAAAGGACCAGUAAUCAACAAGAAAACGUUCAUUGGGAAUGGCGUGAUGAAAGACACUGCUGUCAUCCAUUUAGUACUAUUGAUUCUAGAAUUAUUGAGAUGGCAUUUCAGAAUGGUGAAGAUGAAAUCUGUCUUUCGUCUUUAGGACGAACUUAUACGAUAGAUUUAACUGUGAUGAAACAAAUUAAUGAAGACAUUGGGGUAGCGAGAAGCAUUUUCCGCAGAGUGAAUACACACCCCACAGAAGGAAAAAGUCCUACUUGUUCAUCCAACGCGGAUGUUGUACCUCCGGUAAUUGAAACGAAUGAAUGGUUAGUGUCGUUCAUUCGAACUUUAUUCUCUGUACUAUAUGAAGUUUACAGCAGUUCUGCUGGGCCUGCUGUAAAAUGUAAAUGUCUUCGGGCUCUUUUACGUAUGGUAUAUUAUGCUUCAACCGAUUUACUUAAGGAUGUUUUAAAGAACCAAGUAGUUUCAUCACAUAUAGCGGGUAUGUUGGCGUCCCAAGAUUUACGAAUUGUUAUUGGAGCUCUACAAAUGGCAAGCAUUCUAAUGAAAAGGCUCCCACAAGUGUUUGGAGUACACUUCCAUCGCGAAGGAGUACUACAUCAGAUACGUCAACUAGCUGAUCCUGAAGUACCUCUUGGUGUUUCACCACCUAAGUGCCCUUCUGGUACAUUACCAAGUCCACAGCCGGGUCCGUCUAAUACAUCGCUUUCUCCCACAACGAUGUUCUCUUCUACUAAUGCCACAUCCCCAAUUGCUUCUCCAUCAACGAAUGGUAAUAUACUAUUCGGUACAAUUGCAACUUGUCAGCUGAAGCCAAAUCUUUCUGCAUCGAUGGAGUCUCGCGCAAGAAAUGAAUUAAAUUCUACCAUAGAUGAUGUAACUACACCACAAAGUGCUCAUUUGAGAAUCGGGGAUGUCCUGAAAAGGAAAAGACAAAACAAGAAAGGGCGGUUUUCUAGAUUAGGUGGUACUACACCACAACAAAAUCAACAACCAGAAUCACUUUUCACUGGUUUCGCUCCUAAAAACAAUCGUUUCUUAGGAAAUCUUAAUCCUGCUAGAUGGGGUCGAAAAUCAUCAUCUUCGAGUUCUACUAGUGAUAAAAGAGAUUCAAGUUCAUCUACUAAUCUCUCAAAACCACCGAGUAAUUCAAGUUUAACAGGAGGCAAUCGAGAUAAGGCUAAAGCAUGGGUACGUGAACAGGCUGCUCAGUUCUUGUCACGAUAUCAAGAUGAUGCACCUUGUACACAUCCUGCGAUGACAGUCCUUUCGAGACUUACUGCUGCCAUACAACGGUUACAAUCAAAUGAAUUAGAUGAAAUGUUAUCAGCGCUUACUGAGUUACGAGAUAUUGUGCUUGAAAGUGAUAUAUCUCCGUUUGAAAUGAAUUAUAGUGGUCUCAUUAAGGCUCUGCUCAACUACCUCACUACUACAGAUGCUCCUGGUAAUCGUUAUGAUCGCCUGCGUAUGUUUUGGAAAUUGUUUGCAGAAUCAACUAUACAGCAAAGCAAUAAUGUUAUGGAUAUUAAUCCUGGAGCAUUUGGUGCUCUUGUAACAAAGCUGAAUAGUUGCGUUGCCCAACUGGAACAAUUCCCUGUGAAAGUACACGAUUUACCAGCCGGAUCUGGUGCUGGUCGCGGCGGUACUAGUGCUCUGAAAUUUUUCAAUACACACCAACUUAAGUGUAACCUGCAACGACAUCCUGACUGUAAUAAUUUGAAACAAUGGAAAGGAGGUACCGUCAAAAUAGAUCCCCUUGCGUUAGUACAAGCAAUCGAACGUUAUUUAAUGGUUCGUGGAUAUGGUAGGAUAAGAGAAGCGGAAUCGAUGGUUAGUGAUGAUGAUAACAGCGAAGACGAUAUAGACGAUACUUUGGCAGCGGUAGUUAUAAGUCAAGGAUCAGCUAAACAUAAACUUCAGUUCUUAAUUGGAGAUGAAGUACUGCCUUUCAACAUGACUGUUUAUCAAGCUGUUAGACAGUUCGGUUGUUCUGGAAUUGAUCAUUCUGAAGCAGAAGCUGAUGGUGAACCACCACUUGGCCAUGAUGCUGUAUGGGUACAGACACAUACAAUUUAUUACAGGCCUGUACCAGAAGAAGAAACUACAACUUCGCCAAAACCAGGAUCAAGUACACAGGGUAGCAGCCGCAAAGGCAAAGGAAAAAGUACAAAGAUCAGUUCAAAACGAAAAGAAGAUAGUUUAUGGCUUGAAGGAGUAGUGCCACCACAACGAUGUCCACUUGAUCCUUACUUAUCCCCCACUUUACCGCCUUCGGUUACGAUCACUGAUGCUUCAUUAGACGGUUUAUGCUUAUUGCGUCUUUUAUAUGCAUUGAAUCGUCAUUGGAGCGUUUUAUUCCCCCAUCUAAAGAAUAUAAGCUUACUUUCUCCGCAAGAUUUCAUCAAUAACAAAAUAGCUGCAAAAGCAAGUCGGCAGCUACAAGAUCCUUUGGUUAUUAUGACUGGAAAUUUGCCUUUGUGGUUACAACAAAUUGCUACAGUCUGUCCAUUCCUGUUUCCGUUUGAAACAAGACAAUUGUUACUUUAUGCAACAUCAUUCGAUCGAGAUAGAGCUUUACAACGACUUUUAGAUUCUGCGCCAGAAUUAUCGGGAUCAGAUAGCCAAGAACGUGUUACUCCCCGUUUGGAACGAAGGAAAAGAACUAUCUCGAGAACUGAUAUUCUUAAACAGGCCGAACAAGUUAUACAAGACUUAGCAUCUAGCAAAGCCUUGCUUGAAGUGCAAUAUGUCAAUGAGGUUGGUACUGGCCUUGGACCAACACUGGAAUUUUAUGCUCUAGUCUCUCAGGAAUUACAGCGUGCUGAUCUUGACCUUUGGCACGGUAGUUCAAAUUCUACCGAAACAGGAUACGUUAAUGCUCCUCAUGGACUUUUUUCAAUGCCAAUCCCAUGGAGUACUAAAGUAUCCCAUCUCGCGAAACUUAAAACAAAGUUUAAAUUCCUUGGAAAGUUCAUGGCGAAGGCGAUAUACGACUCAAGAAUGUUGGAUUUACCAUUCAGUUUAACCUUUUAUCGUUGGCUAUUGGGAGAAGAACAUACAUUAACGUUGGCUGAUUUAGCGUAUGUAUGUCCUGAUGUACAUCGAACUCUUGUUAGACUACAAGAAAUCGUUAGAAAGAAAGAGAUGAUUGAAAAAGAUGAAACAUUAAGACCACACGAGAAAGCACAACUAGUAGAUUCAUUAAAUUUAGACGGUUGUCCGAUUUCGGAGCUCGGUCUUGUUUUUGAAUUACCAGGUUAUGAGAAUAUUGAAUUGAGGAAAGGAGGAAGUGAUAUACCUGUCAAUAUUUAUAAUCUGGAUCAAUACAUUAAGUUGGUAGUACAUUGGUUCUUGUACGAAGGUGUCUUCAGACAAAUGGAAGCUUUUCGAGAAGGAUUCGAAUCUGUAUUCCCGCCAUCACAAUUGAGACUAUUCUUCCCUGAAGAACUUGAAGCCGUGUUUUGUGGACAUGCACAAACAGGUUGCCAGUGGGACGUGAAAACACUUUUAGAAUGUUGUAGGACUGAUCAUGGAUACACUCCAGAUUCCCGUGCUAUUCGUUUCCUGUUUGAAGUUAUGUCAAAAUAUAAUAGUGAAGAGCAAAGGCAGUUCAUCCAAUUCGUCACAGGUUCACCGCGACUACCAGUUGGAGGUUUUAAGAGUUUAACGCCACCCUUAACGAUAGUGCGUAAAACUUUCGACCCCUCAAUGAAAACGGACGAUUUCUUACCAUCCGUGAUGACUUGCGUUAAUUACUUAAAACUGCCUGAUUACACAACGUUAGAAAUAAUGCGAGAAAAGUUGCGAAUAGCUGCACAAGAAGGACAACAUUCGUUCCACCUUUCCUAGAAACAGAUGGAAAACUGGCGCGUCAUUUGCUCUUUUGCUAUCGCAUUGUCCAGGUAAGAUAGUCCAAUUAAUACUUUUAGCCGUGUAUGAGUGCAGCCAGCAUCGCCAGACAGUGUCACCGUAAUGAUCGAAGAAAAUUACUGUCUUAUAUCUACUCAUUUACAGGCAAAACAUCUAUUUAUGAAAAAAAAAAUGUACGAAAAAUGUAUAAUAUUGAAAUAGAAUGGAUAUAAAGUCAGCGAAGCUGGUGUAUCAGAUGGAUUAUACAAGGUACAUUACUUUCUUAUAUCUCUGUAGAAAUUGUGAUUCUGUACGAAAAUUGUGAGAAUAUGAACUGAUCAAAAGUAGAAAAAAAGAUAAUAUGCGAUUACUUGUUUUACAAUUAUAUUGUGUACCAUUGCUUAAACUGAUCAAUAUAUGUAUACAUCACUUUCUGAUUUUUAAUUUGAUGUAUGUGAGAGUUAAAUGGUGAAUUGGCGAUUACGUUAAUUGGUAUUAAAUAAUCACCAUUCUAAGCUGACUUUUAAAAUAAGCCUACAGUGUUGCUUUAAAGCUUCAUUUCAACCUUGUGACAUUUCUUUUUUCUUUUUAGCAUUAUACUAUGAAUUUAUUUAGUCACUACAAUGAUACUGUUAUAUUUCGUAAUUUUACAUAUUUUAUUAUGAACUAUAAAAACAUGUUACACUUAUAUUUUUUCAUUACAUUUUUAAUACAAUAGUGAAUUAUAACUGGUAAUGUAUACACAAAAUGUAGAGAAACAAAACUUAUUGAUUGAACAUACAAUAUGCAAGAAUUCGGAAAUGCAUUGCAUAAUGUUUGAUGGUUUGGUUGGACGGACUAAACCUGUAUCAAUAUUAUAAGUAAAACUUAUAUUUAUAUCAACUCAUUAGUAUAAAUGAAGAUUUACUUUUAUUCAACGUAGAUUCUGUUUCUUCGGUAGCUUUCAAUAAAUGAAAAUAUAAACAU